rnacentral:rRNA from 1 species
CCUACGGGAGGCAGCAGUGGGGAAUAUUUCACAAUGGGGGGAACCCUGAUGCAGCGAUGCCGCGUGGGUGAAGAAGCCCUCCGGUCCGUAACGCCCUGUCGUCAGGGAAGAAAAUGACAGUACCUGGACAAUACGCCCCGGCUAACUACGUGCCAGCAGCCGCGGUAAUACGUAGGGGGCACGCGUUAUCCGGAUUUACUGGGUGUAAAGGGAGCGCAGGCGGCCUGGCAAGUCAGCUGUGAAAGCCCGGGGCCCAACCCCGGGAGUGCAUUUGAAACUGCCAGGCUGGAGUGCAGGAGAGGGAAGCGGAAUUCCUAGUGUAGCGGUGAAAUGCGUAGAUAUUAGGAGGAACACCAGUGGCGGAGGCGGCUUACUGGACGGUAACUGACGCUGAGGCUCGAAAGCGUGGGGAGCAAACAGGAUUAGAGACCCUUGUAGUC